UAAGAAAGCCUUAACUCAACCCUGGAGUCAGAGCGAGAAAGAGGUAGAGGCUGGCCACACCUAUAUAGAGAAAGCCUUAACUCAAGCCUGGAGUCAGAGUGAGAAAGAGGUAGAGGCUGGCCACACCUAUAUAGAGAAAGCCUUAACUCAACCCUGGAGUCAGAGCGAGAAAGAGGUAGAGGCUGGCCACCUAUAUAGAGAAAGCCUUAACUCAACCCUGGAGUCAGAGCGAGAAAGAGGUAGAGGCUGGCCACCUAUAUAGAGAAAGCCUUAACUCAACCCUGGAGUCAGAGCGAGAAAGAGGUAGAGGCUGGCCACACCUAUAUAGAGAAAGCCUUAACUCAACCCUGGAGUCAGAGCGAGAAAGAGGUAGAGGCUGGCCACCUAUAUAGAGAAAGCCUUAACUCAACCCUGGAGUCAGAGCGAGAAAGAGGUAGAGGCUGGCCACCUAUAUAGAGAAAGCCUUAACUCAACCCUGGAGUCAGAGCGAGAAAGAGGUAGAGGCUGGCCACACCUAUAUAGAGAAAGCCUUAACUCAAGCCUGGAGUCAGAGUGAGAAAGAGGUAGAGGCUGGCCACACCUAUAUAGAGAAAGCCUUAACUCAACCCUGGAGUCAGAGCGAGAAAGAGGUAGAGGCUGGCCACCUAUAUAGAGAAAGCCUUAACUCAACCCUGGAGUCAGAGCGAGAAAGAGGUAGAGGCUGGCCACCUAUAUAGAGAAAGCCUUAACUCAACCCUGGAGUCAGAGCGAGAAAGAGGUAGAGGCUGGCCACACCUAUAUAGAGAAAGCCUUAACUCAACCCUGGAGUCAGAGCGAGAAAGAGGUAGAGGCUGGCCACCUAUAUAGAGAAAGCCUUAACUCAACCCUGGAGUCAGAGCGAGAAAGAGGUAGAGGCUGGCCACACCUAUAUAGAGAAAGCCUUAACUCAAGCCUGGAGUCAGAGUGAGAAAGAGGUAGAGGCUGGCCACACCUAUAUAGAGAAAGCCUUAACUCAACCCUGGAGUCAGAGCGAGAAAGAGGUAGAGGCUGGCCACCUAUAUAGAGAAAGCCUUAACUCAACCCUGGAGUCAGAGCGAGAAAGAGGUAGAGGCUGGCCACACCUAUAUAGAGAAAGCCUUAACUCAACCCUGGAGUCAGAGCGAGAAAGAGGUAGAGGCUGGCCACCUAUAUAGAGAAAGCCUUAACUCAACCCUGGAGUCAGAGCGAGAAAGAGGUAGAGGCUGGCCACACCUAUAUAGAGAAAGCCUUAACUCAAGCCUGGAGUCAGAGUGAGAAAGAGGUAGAGGCUGGCCACACCUAUAUAGAGAAAGCCUUAACUCAACCCUGGAGUCAGAGCGAGAAAGAGGUAGAGGCUGGCCACCUAUAUAGAGAAAGCCUUAACUCAACCCUGGAGUCAGAGCGAGAAAGAGGUAGAGGCUGGCCACACCUAUAUAGAGAAAGCCUUAACUCAAGCCUGGAGUCAGAGCGAGAAAGAGGUAGAGGCUGGCCACACCUAUAUAGAGAAAGCCUUAACUCAACCCUGGAGUCAGAGCGAGAAAGAGGUAGAGGCUGGCCACCUAUAUAGAGAAAGCCUGAACACUGCUCAAUAGGAUUGAUACUGUAAACCUUUAUGUCCAGAACCUCCCAAUAUAAAUACACACUUGGUGGCUUAUGCUUGGUUUUAGUGUGCUGCGGUUUCCAAAAGGAGAUGUGGAUGCAUUGUUUUUAGACAUUCCAGAAGAUUCCACCAGUAUCUUUAGCAUCUUUAACUGGCACUUUUCAAGAGCAAAAAGCAACGAUUUUGUCUGUGGUUAUUUUUGGCCACAAUACGGAAUCGUUUUUAAUGUAAAAUGAUUUGAUGGUAAAUUGUAUUGAUUUGUUGAUUGUCCCUUAUGUCUUCCCUUUGAGUGUAGAGGGAGUCCUUUUACUGCUGGUCAGAUGAGACACAUCUCCCUCCUAUCCUUCCUUCUUGGUAUUUACAGUGGAUUCACACUGGCCACGUUCAAGGCCACUUCAUUGCAGUCGCAUGCCAGAACCUCACAAUGCCUGGAUAGGUGUUUCUGUAUCAGCUUAUCACAAAAUGACACCGCCAACUGAUGGCGGACUGGAAAGUCAGUGAGGUGUCACGCAGCCACAGGUUGCUGCAUGCAGUGCGACUGUAAUGUAGUCAGCCUGGAACGCGACCACUGUGUUCACCCAGGGAAUAAACCAACUUAGCCAUGUUGAGUUCCAUUAUCUGGAAAUGGUCAGUGAUUCUUGAGGUGUGCCCUCUAUAAACCUUAUAAUCUGGAUGGGUAGGGGCAGUCCUCUGGAUGGGUAGGGGCAGUCCUCUGGAUGGGUAGGGGCAGUCCUCUGAUCCAGUCCUAUUGAUUUGCUGAACAACAUGUUGUUUUGGUUUGGUUGCGCUUUAUGCCAUGUCCGUAGUAAAGCCCUUUUCACUACCUGUGUUCAAACAUUUUCUCUGCUGAUGACAAGCACUGUCCCAUAGAUGUUUUGUGUGUCUUCUAUACGAUAUCUCUGUUAGAUACAUAACAGAUUGCCUGUGAGGUGGGCAGGGGUCAGGGGGGGGGGGGGGUCAGUGAAUGGAGGGGGUUACGGUUCUAAAGCACUUACUGUACUAUAUGGGAGAGGGUUCCUCUUAUUUUUCUGAAAGGGGGCCUCUCCUCGGCUGAAGCUCUUGAUAUGUUGUGAGACUAAAACCACACAGCUGUGUAUUUCCCCUUUUCCCUGUGUCUGACCCGGUCAUAUACCCUGGGUGUAUUCAUUAGGCACCAAACGGAAGAAAAUGGGCUGAAACAGGGAGAUACUACCUGACCUUGCCCAAUUUUCCAUUGCUACGGUGUGCCCUAGUGAAUACAACCCCUGUCCCAUGUCUCUUUGUCUGUCUGUAGUCGACACAAGACUCUCAUCCUGUCUUCCCUCUCCGUCUCUCACGCCCUCCUCUCCUCCCCAGCUCCUCUUUAUCUGUUGUCUUAUGUUUUGUUGGACUGUCAGUCCACACGGUCGUUGAGAAGCUAUUAUAUUUAGAGGUUUUUUUAAGAAGAAACUUGUGGGUGGAUAAAGAAGAGGCUUGUGCCUUUUGUAAAGACAGAAUAAUAAAGUUUGUACUUCAUUUUUUA